UACAGAGGUCCCAAGCGUUGUUCGGAUUCACUGGGCGUAAAGGGUGCGUAGGUGGCCGGUUAAGUCUGACGUGAAAUCUCCGAGCCUAACUCGGAAACUGCAUCGGAAACUAUCCGGCUCGAGGGUUGGAGGGGGGACUGGAAUACUUGGUGUAGCAGUGAAAUGCGUAGAUAUCAAGUGGAACACCAGUGGCGAAGGCGAGUCCCUGGACAACUCCUGACACUGAGGCACGAAAGCUAGGGGAGCAAACGGG
rnacentral:rRNA from 1 species